rnacentral:rRNA from 1 species
UACGUAGGGUGCAAGCGUUGUCCGGAAUUAUUGGGCGUAAAGAGCUCGUAGGCGGUUUGUCGCGUCGGCUGUGAAAACCCGGGGCUCAACCCCGGGCCUGCAGUCGAUACGGGCAAACUAGAGUGUGGUAGGGGAGACUGGAAUUCCGGGUGUAGCGGUGGAAUGCGUAGAGAUCCGGAAGAACACCGGUGGCGAAGGCGGUCUGCUGGGGCAGUUGCUGACACUGAGGCGCGACAGCGUGGGGAGCAAACAGG